GUGUCUUUCUAAAACACACAGCGUUGGAUGAAGAAAGCAGUCUAUGAAUCCUAUAUAUCUCUAUGCAAAUUGGGUCACCUUACCAAAUAUCGAUGGAUCUUUCACCUCACUAGCAAGAGCGCGUCCCUAGUAUGGCAUCUGUCAUCAUCGCCUUUGAAGCGCUGUCAUCUUCCAAGCUCCAUAGCGUUUAUGAAUUCGUGCGCAAUAACAUCGCGCAGAAUAUAAUUCUCGAAUUCGAAUAUAUAUAAUUAUAAUUCUCGAAUAUUAAGUGUGAUAAAACACACACGCGUUAAAUUUUAGUGUUUUUCUAGUGAAAAACGGAAUUAGUUCCAAUAUGAAACACAAAAGACCACGUUGUCGGAAGAAAAUUCGAAAACCGGUGCUUUGGUAUGUAUAAUAGUGGCGGGAACUCUUUUUCGUCCUCGGAGGACGAGAGAAGUAAUGGUUCGUCACUGCCCAAGAGACCGGGAGACGAGAAAUUCCCAGAUAUCAAACACAUCUUCAUCCAACGCUGUGUGUUUUAGAAAGACACAUAAUAUUGAUGUUUUGCAUUAAAACAAAACAUGUAUUAUGUGUCGAAUAAAACACACAGCGUUGCAGUUUACUGCUUGCUGAUGAAGAUGCUAUGGAGCUUGGAAGAUGACAGCGCUUCAAAGGCGAUGAUGACAGAUGCCAUACUAGGGACGCGCUCUUGCUAGUGAGGUGAAAGAUCCAUCGAUAUUUGGUAAGGUGACCCAAUUUGCAUAGAGAUAUAUAGGAUUCAUAGACUGCUUUCUUCAUCCAACGCUGUGUGUUUUAUUCGACACAUAAUACAUGUUUUGUUUUAAUGCAAAACAUCAAUAUUAUUGA